rnacentral:rRNA from 1 species
GACGAACGCUGGCGGCGUGCUUAACACAUGCAAGUCGAACGGACAGGCCCUGCUUUUGUGGGGUGCUCGAGUGGCGAACGGGUGAGUAACACGUGAGUAACCUGCCCUUGACUUUGGGAUAACUUCACGAAACUGGGGCUAAUACCGGAUAGGAUCUCCUGCUGCAUGGUGGGGGUUGGAAAGUUUCGGCGGUUGGGGAUGGACUCGCGGCUUAUCAGCUUGUUGGUGGGGUAGUGGCUUACCAAGGCUUUGACGGGUAGCCGGCCUGAGAGGGUGACCGGCCUCAUUGGGCCUGAGAUACGGCGCAGACGCCUACGGGAGGCAGCAGUGGGGAAUAUUGCACAAUGGGCGGAAGCCUGAUGCAGCAACGCCGCGUGCGGGAUGACGGCCUUCGGGUUGUAAACCGCUUUCGACUGUGACGAAGCGUGAGUGACGGUAAUGGGUAAAGAAGCAACGGCUAACUACGUG